CUGACAGCAGGUGAGACAGAGGGAUCACCAGUGGCCCCUGACCCCAGGAGCCCCUACAGCAGACCUCAAAGUGGGGAAAUCCUAGAGGCUCAGCUCCACUACGACAGCCCGCCGUCUCUUGGACCGUCCCAACAGAGUGAAAGGUGCAGUCGGCCCCUCAGUGUGAAGACGUUUGAGGACAUCCCUGUGGCACACAGCAUUGUCAUGGAGGGUCACAUAGACAGUGGCUUCUCACCAGAGGAGGUCAAGGGUCUGAAUCAACACCUGCAAACCACGCCCAACUUCAGCCAACUGCUACGCUGUAAGAGUAAAGAGUCUCUGGCCUCAGAAUCGUCCAAUCAGACGAGUGGAUACCAGUCAGGGUACCACUCUGAUGACACAGACACCCCAAUCUAUGCUAACGAGGAGGUGAUAAUGAAGCACAACAU